GCAACCCUAGAACGGUUUCCUUCCUGCGUAACUCCAGGCGAAAGGAAUCUUGGGAACUCUUCGAGGUCCGUACAUCCUGCGUAGAAAGCUACGGGCUGCAUCAUGGCAAUGUUCUAUCGUGCGAGCAUUUUCGUCAUCCUCGUGUCGCUGUCAGCGGCAUCUCUGUGUCCACCCGUAGAUGACUCCGAGCCCUGCAUCUACUCUUCGUGCACCACACCUGGUUGCGCUGCCAAAGGUCUUCAGUGCUGUCCCACAUCGUGUGGAGGAUCGCGAUGCACACCAGGUGCUGACUCAGCAGAUGGACUGCCAUGGUUCAGGAAGAGGCGCCAGCUGCCUCCACACAUCAUCUACUUUGGCUAAGUGAACAGCGCAAUAUGGCAGACGACUACCUCAUACCUCUUAACAGAGGGUAAAUACCUAAUAAAUACCCACCUGUUAUCCUCUGUAUAUUGCACAAAGUGCCGUAAGAGUAGAACAAUUUUGUUUGGUUUUGUGCAUGCAUCAAAGUGUCACUGGCAUUGUGCAUUUGGAAGGCCUAAAGACGAAUUGUGCGUUGAACUAAGGGUUACUGUAUCGCUGAUGUACUGAUAUAUGCAUCAUAAAAAUUGUAUUCCAAGAUUA